rnacentral:lncRNA from 1 species
UCAAAUGCGGUGAUCCGGGAUCAUCCGUGCAAAAGAAUAUUUGUCCGGGGUUCAAGAAAAGCAAGAAAAAAAAGAAGAAGAGCAAAAAAAAAAGCAAUCAAAAAGUUUCGAGGUUCAAGAAAAACAAGAAAAGAGAAGGAGGGGAAAUCAUAUGUUGCGGGGUUCGAGAAAAGCAAAAAAAAAAAUAAUAAUCCCCAGCGGAGCGCAAAUUG